rnacentral:lncRNA from 1 species
CUCAUGGAGAGAGAGAGGUUUUAAAAAUGAUUUAUCCAUAAACAGAGAUUCCAUAUGUCCUAAUCUGGCAUGGAUUUCUCGCCUUCUCUUUAUAGCAAGGAAUGUGUGUAUGCCUGUAUAGCAGGGCUAUAAUGUGACAAUUUGUCUCGGAGUGAAACCAGGAUUUAUGGUACUUACUGGAGACCACAGAGGCUGCUGGGUGCAGAUGUACUCACCUGACUUGUGUGCAUGCUUGUCUGUUGAUCCCAAGAUUCCCCAGAGACAGCUAGGAGGGGAAAUGGGCAAGCUGGCCAUCAGUGGACACUGA